rnacentral:rRNA from 1 species
GUACUGGCGCAGCCUGAUCAGCAUGCCGCGUGCAUGAGAAGGCCUUCGGGUUGUAAACUGCUUUUGUCAGGGAAGAUAUCCUCUGGGUUAAUACCUCAGGGGGAUGACGGUACCUGGCCAGUAACCACCGGCAUAUAACGUGCCAGCAGCCGCGGUAAUAG